rnacentral:rRNA from 1 species
GAUGAACGCUAGCGACAGGCCUAACACAUGCAAGUCGAGGGGCAGCACGAAUCAAGCUUGCUUGAUUUGGUGGCGACCGGCGCACGGGUGCGUAACAGGUGUGCAAUCUGUCCAUAAUCGGGGAAUAGCCCAGCGAAAGUUGGAUUAAUGCUCCAUGUGAGUUUUAGAGGCAUCUCUUUAAUUUGAAACGUAAGGAUUAUGGGUGAGCACGCUUCUGAUUAGGUAGUUGGUGAGGUAACGGCUCACCAAGCCGACGAUCAGUAGGGGUUCUGAGAGGAAGGUCCCCCACAUUGGAACUGAGACACGGUCCAA